ensembl:lncRNA
AAACGUGCCCUGGGGGCGGCGCGGGCCGUGCUGCCGCCUUCCUGCCGCGCCCCGCGUCACUUCACGUGCGCCCAGGCGGCGGGCGCCCAUUUCCUUCUGCUCUGCUCUUCGCGUGUGCUUUUUCUCACAGAAAACCGCAGGUUUGUGGCUUACGCAGCAGGACGGCGAUGCUACGCGUAGCCGCGUUGACACAAAAGCACAUAAAUUCGCUGAGGCGAACGACCGUCCUCCUGAGCGCCGUCGCUCGUUUUGCCGUUCUGAUCUCCCAGUCAGGGAAGCUUUCCCGGACCUACGUCUGGUUCUAUCAGCUGGUUUCUCACGGGGGAAAGCCACCCAAGCACCUGUGGCCUGCCCAUACCUACUGGCAGCCCAGCGGCAGCUGCUCAGUACUAGGAGCUGCUUGCAUGAUACUCUGGUUACAGCCCGAUGGAGAGUCCUGAAGGCCACCGGUUCACCCAUUCACAGCGUCUGUGGGCACUGAUUGCUCCGCAGGAUAAGGGCAAAAUGAUUUCUAGCUUUUUUGAUUCUACAUCAAAUUUACCCCCUCUUCCUAUUUCUUUCUUCUCACAUCACAGUUUUCUGCCAUCCGUUUAUUGCUAACAUCUUAAUUCGUUACGCCAGCUUGAGCAACUUUGGCUCACGCGAUUGUUACUAGUACAACCACAGCUGAGCAGAACAGAAUGAAAAAGAAAGGAAAGCAGAAAUAAAAAGAUACUAAAGACAGUAGCACUGUGUACAUUCUGUUCUGCUGUCUGGCAGCAUGCAGAGGGAAGUGUCACAAAAAGUAUUUGCAGAUUUGGGCCAAGCAUGUGCAGUCUCAGUAACAGAACAGAUCUUCAGACAGUCAGAAGCUGUAGGUUUCUGUGAUCCAGCUAUGAACUGCCCCUCACACUGGACAUCUCUCUCCUCUGAUAUACGUUGUACUUAGUUCAGAUUGGAGGGACGAUUUUGUAAGGCUGAAGGGGCAUCUUUAAUUUUCAAGCUGCAAGGAGGAAAGCAACAACAUCAGAAAGAGAAGAUGGAAAUGGUGGUCCCAGUGACUCAUCUUGAGGAAGGAGAAAACAUGAGGAGGCACUAUAAGGACAUCUGCUGGAGCACCUCGUGCUGGCCUUUGCUGUGUGAGGUUUGGAAGUGAGGUUUCCUGCACUUACAGGGAGAUAAGAUUCACUGUCUGUAUUCCUCUUUUUCUGCCACCUUAUUAAAACAGCUGUUUUAUUAAGCCAUUUUUGGUUGUAUUUCUCCUUCUGAGAUCCAGAAAGAGCCCUGCAACAUUUCUCUUUGUCGUCUUCUCCCACACUCAGGUGCAGAACAGCAACGGUAAUUGAGG